rnacentral:rRNA from 1 species
UACGGGGGGGCAAGCGUUGUUCGGAAUUACUGGGCGUAAAGGGCUCGUAGGCGGCCAACUAAGUCAGACGUGAAAUCCCUCGGCUUAACCGGGGAACUGCGUCUGAUACUGGAUGGCUUGAGGUUGGGAGAGGGAGUGCGGAAUUCCAGGUGUAGCGGUGAAAUGCGUAGAUAUCUGGAGGAACACCGGUGGCGAAGGCGGCAUCCUGGACCAAUUCUGACGCUGAGGAGCGAAAGCCAGGGAGCAAAGCGGG